GACGAACCGUGCGAACGUUGUUCGGAAUCACUGGGCUUAAAGGGCGCGUAGGCGGGCUGCCAAGUUCGGGGUGAAAUCCUCCCGCUUAACGGGAGAACGGCCUCGAAUACUGGCGGUCUCGAGGGAGGUAGGGGCGUGCGGAACUAUGGGUGGAGCGGUGAAAUGCGUUGAUAUCCAUAGGAACUCCGGUGGCGAAGGCGGCACGCUGGACCUCUUCUGACGCUGAGGCGCGAAGGCCAGGGGAGCAAACGGG
rnacentral:rRNA from 1 species